rnacentral:rRNA from 2 species
CAAGUCUCCUGAAGGAACGUUGAAGACGACGACGUUGAUAGGCCGGGUGUGUAAGCGCAGCGAUGCGUUGAGCUAACCGGUACUAAUGAACCGUGAGGCUUAACCUU